GCCAUGCUAGUUGUACGAGCUUAGACUCGUUGCGGAAAGCUCAGUAACACGUGGACAAACUACCCUACGGAGAGCCAUAACCUCGGGAAACUGAGGCUAAUAGUUCAUAGGGGAGUCGCGCUGGAAGUGCCGACUCUCUCAAACGCUCCGGCGCCGUAGGAUGUGUCUGCGGCCGAUUAGGUAGACGGUGGGGUAACGGCCCACCGUGCCGAUAAUCGGUACGGGUUGUGAGAGCAAGAGCCCGGAGACGGAAUCUGAGACAAGAUUCCGGGCCCUACGGGGCGCAGCAGGCGCGAAACCUUUACACUGUACGCAAGUGCGAUAAGGGGACCCCAAGUGCGAGGGCAUAUAGUCCUCGCUUUUCCCGACUGUAAGGCGGUCGGGGAAUAAGAGCUGGGCAAGACCGGUGCCAGCCGCCGCGGUAAUACCGGCAGCUCAAGUGAUGACCGAUAUUAUUGGGCCUAAAGCGUCCGUAGCCGGCCACGAAGGUCUAUCGGGAAAUCCGCCAGCUUAACUGGCGGGCGUCCGGUAGAAACCACGUGGCUUGGGACCGGAAGGCUCGAGGGGUACGUCCGGGGUAGGAGUGAAAUCCUGUAAUCCUGGACGGACCACCGAUGGCGAAAGCACCUCGAGAAGACGGAUCCGACGGUGAGGGACGAAAGCUAGGGUCUCGAACCGGAUUAGAUACCCGGGUAGUCCUAGCUGUAAACGAUGCUCGCUAGGUGUGGCACAGGCUACGAGCCUGUGCUGUGCCGUAGGGAAGCCGAGAAGCGAGCCGCCUGGGAAGUACGUCCGCAAGGAUGAAACUUAA
rnacentral:rRNA from 1 species